UUUACUCAUACACAACAAAUCCUUUAAAUAAUGCACAGUGAAUUAGAAUUUAUUAAUCAAAAUAGUCAGAUCCUUGUACCAGCUGAAACGUAUCCUGUACUAAGGAAUUCAAUGUUUAGUCUAUUUGACAAUUCAUCACCCAGCGCUUUUAUAAUUGGUAGAGGUAGGCCCAACCCCAAGCACUAGCAUAUCGUCAAGGCUUUUUACAUACAUUGCAAGCACUAGCAACAAAUGAACUAAAGAUUGCCUCCAAAAUCAAUAUAAAGAAAGCCUCAAAACAAAAACACCAUAAAAUAAAAUGGCAAUCUGGAACAGCUAAACACCUCACACUUGAAAAGUUUACAAAGCUUAGAAUGAUUUUUCCUCAGUCAUACAGCAAUAUAAAAUGCAUAUCUGAACAAAUGCUUGAGCACAUAACAUCUGAAACCCAAAUCUUGUGCCUGGAGGAAGGAAGGAAACAAAAUCUCUUCUCAUCGCCCUCCUCUUCCAGCUUUGCUGUAUAGCCUGUACAUAACGUGCAAUUGCAAGCUAUUGAGCACCUGGUGCAUCUCUCAUGCUCAUAUUCAGACUGUUUCUCAUAGUCCGUCUACCAAUCCCAGCAUUGCCUUUUUGCAUCAUGGCAACAAAUUCACCAUAAUCAAUCCUUCCAUCAUUAUCUUGAUCAACUUCUCUGAUUAUAUCUUCAAGUAAAACAUCAGUCAUGUUAUGUUCUGCACAUGCUUGCUGAAGCUCAUCAACGGUGAUGUAACCACUUCCAUCCUUAUCAAAGUAUUGGAAUGCUGCAACAAGAUGUUCCUCUCGUUCUAAUUUGUUAAGAUGAACUGUUGCAGCAAUAAAUUCUCCAUAAUCAAUAGUCCCACUGUUGUCCACAUCAGCCGCAUCCAUAAGGUAACGUAUUUCUGUAUCUUUCAUGGUAGAGCCAUAUCUUCUCAAGCCAGCUUUUAGUUCAUCAAAUGUGAUUGCACCACUGUUAUCAGUAUCCAUAGCCUUGAACAUCUCUCGCAAACCAGCAAUCUCCUCCUCAGAAAGACUCUCAGCUAUUACCUGAUAACAUGAAACAGGCAAGUAUGAGAAAUCAGAAUAGGGUCAAGCCUUCUGCAUCGGUAGGAGCCUAAAAGCCAAUAUAAGGUAUCAAUAUGCUUUAGAAUUAAAAUGCAAACUGCUUGAAAGGUGCAAUUGAAUAAAUGAGUUGCAUGUAAAACCAGUCAAAAGAAAAUAAUGCAAAAGCUUUUUUUGUUCUUCAGAUAAACAGCAUUAUUCCAUAAUACAUUCACAUUUCAGUUUAAUAUUUGAUAAAUAAUUGUAUUCUUCAUUAAGUGCAUCACUUGGCUCCUUAAACGUCUAAAAGUAUCUGAAUGUGUCCAAGGCAUCCAUGCACUUACCCGUAAAGCCAUCUUCUUCAAUUUAUUCAUUGCAGAAAAUUGUUUGAGACGAGAAAGUACAGCUGGGUCCAGUGCUCUAUCAGGAGCAACUCCAUUUUCACAAAUCCAAGGAUGGCAUAGCACUUCGUGAGCGGUCAAGCGUUCUGAAGGUUGAGAACAAAGCAUCCUCCGGAUGAGAUCUUUAGCACUAUCUGAUAUAAGGGGCCAAGGGUCUGACUCAAAGUCAAUAUAUCCCUUUAGCACUGCAUCAAAUAUCCCUUGCUGUGUUUCUGCCCAAAAUGGUGGCACUCCAGAUAAUAAGAUAUACAAAAUAAUUCCUGCACUCCACACGUCUGCUUCAGGUCCAUAAUGCUUACGCAAUACCUCUGGCGCAACAUAGUAUGGACUGCCAACAACAUCAGAAAAGGUCUCACCUAGAAAGCAACAAAUGAGAAAAGGAGGUUCUUAUAAAACAUAAAUAAAACCAGAGAAAAUUAAUGAUAUUUAGGCUUAUGGGGUGAAGAUAACAUCAUAUGUCAAUACUCAAUAACUCAUCACAUGAUAAUUUCACUUGAUAAUUUCCAAUGACAUUGUCCAUUUCUAUUUUACAAUUUCUUCAAAGCCAACAAUAGAUUAAAGAUACAACAGGCUUCAUGGAUCAGAUCUCAUUACUGCAACAACAGCAUUUAUUCAAGUGCAAUUAUCAAUUGAAAAUUCAUAUUAUAGGCCACCGCAAAUAAAUUUUGAAGUGGUAAAAGGCUCAGUUGCUCCUUUUUUUCUCUUUCUUGCUUGCUGCUAAAUUAAUCUGUUUACCUUAAUAAGAAGCUGCAUUCUCAAUGAUAAUUUUGGGGACAACAAUGGCAAUCAACAUGAUUCUGCUUGCAAAAUUGAUAUUUACUAAGUAUGCUACAAUUAUUUUGCCUCCAAUAGAAUUUAUAAUUUUUAAUAAAUUUGAUGUAAAUAACAGCCAAAUCCCCAUUAGAAACUUCUCAAGGAAAUGAUUUUUUUCCAAACAAAAACAGGUAUUGAGGAUAGUGAUGCUGGAGAUGCACAAUCCAAAGAGCAUGACAAGCAUUCCAUUCCAAAAAUGUAGAAGGAAGAAAUGAGUAACUUAUAGAUGAACUUCAAAAAAAAUAAAAACUGCAAAAUUCUAACUAAAAUAUAAGAGAAUUCCUCCCUCAAAUAUCAAUACAAAUUACACAUCAUAAAUACAAGCAUAAGAUUUCAAAUGAUGUAAACAUUGGAAAGACCCAUCCCAGAAAUGAUCCAUUCAAAACUCAAAGAAUAAAAUAAAGAAAAAUCCAUGAAAGAAUGGGAAUUAUAAUAUUAUAGAACACUGCUUAUUAAUUAACAAUAAGAAAAAUUCAUGAAAGAACAUUUAAUUAGGAAUCUGACGAUUUCGUCAGCAACACAGUAAAUUUCUACAUGAGCUAGCUUCAAAAAGAACUAGAUCCCAAGACUAAACAUUUUAAUUAAGAUUUUAAAAAGCAGAAAUUGGAUAGACCCAAGUCAGAAUUCAUUCAUAUAAGCCGAAAGGACUGUUGAAUCUGAAGAAAAACAAAACCCAUGGAAGAAAAUUACUAAAAAAUGGAGAGAAGGAAAGAAAAAAGUAAUUGAAUUGAAAUAAUGAGACCUGGCUUAUAGAAUACAGAGAGGCCAAAAUCAGUGGCCUUGAGAGCAGCGUCUUCCUCAACACUAUGAAACAAGAAAUUUUCAGGCUUAAGAUC
rnacentral:misc_RNA from 1 species